AUUGAACGCUGGCGGAAUGCUUUACACAUGCAAGUCGAGCGGCAGCGCGGGGGCAACCCUGGCGGCGAGCGGCGAACGGGUGAGUAACAUAUCGGAACGUACCCCGUCGUGGGGGAUAACACAACGAAAGCUGUGCUAAUACCGCAUACGACCUGAGGGUGAAAGCGGGGGAUCGCAAGACCUCGCGCGAUGGGAGCGGCCGAUAUCGGAUUAGCUUGUUGGUGAGGUAAAGGCUCACCAAGGCGACGAUCCGUAGCUGGUCUGAGAGGACGACCAGCCACACUGGAACUGAGACACGGUCCAGACUCCUACGGGAGGCAGCAGUGGGGAAUUUUGGACAAUGGGGGCAACCCUGAUCCAGCCAUUCCGCGUGAGUGAAGAAGACCUUCGGGUUGUAAAGCUCUUUCAGCAGGAACGAAACGGUGGCCACUAAUACUGGCUACUAAUGACGGUACCUGAAGAAGAAGCACCGGCUAACUACGUGCCAGCAGCCGCGGUAAUAC
rnacentral:rRNA from 1 species